rnacentral:tRNA from 1 species
GGGGUAUAGUUUAAUGGUAAAACGAAGGUCUCCAAAACCUUUGAUGUGGGUUCGAUUCCUACUACCCCUGCCAU